GGACUACACGGGUAUCUAAUCCUGUUUGCUCCCCUAGCUUUCGCACCUCAGCGUCAGGAACGCGCCAGUCACUCGCUUUCGCCUCCGGCGUUCCUCCUGAUAUCUACGCAUUUCACCGCUUCACCAGGAGUUCCAGUGACCCCUCACGCCCUCGAGCCCGGUAUUUUCGGCCGCCGUUCCGACGGUAAGCGUCGGGAUUCCACGACCGAUUUGCCGAGCCGCCUACGUGCCCUUUACGCCCAGUGAAUCCGAACAACGUUUGCACUCUCCGUAUUACCGCGGCUGCUGGCAC
rnacentral:rRNA from 1 species